UCUGCCCAGGCACUACCAUUCUCAGAUGCUCUCAAGCUGCUCUCUUAUACAAAGGACUGGACUUCAAAUCCAGACAAGCAAUUCAGACGAGGUUACAAAUGACAAUGGAGGUUAGAGACAGUCUCGAGAUAGCUCACACUGCGGAGGACUUCUCUAAGUUAUAUGCAGGCAUUGCAAUACUUUGGCUUCAUCUAAGCUUGAACCAGCCCUAUGUUAUAUCAAAGCUAUUGUGAGCUCGGGGAUCGUCGAGGAUCGUCACCACACUAUGGAACCUUAUUUUGGUACUUUGAAAAUGUAUAUAUUAAAGUAUGACAUGUAUAGGCUAGCAGUUGUUGAAUUAUGUUUUGUGAUGUACAUAUUUAGCCAUGUGAUAUGUCUAGUUUGUGUUAGAACUUAUAGUUUUAUAAUGAUAUAUGAUAUGUGAUGUUAAUGUGAAA